CAUGACCCUUGGCAAAACCAGACAUGGGGCUUUUUUGUAGAUUCCCCAGCGUUUUGGGAAACACUUUACCUUUUUCUACAGUCCUGCCCCUCCCCCAUCCCUAAGAUUUUUUUCUUGACUAUUCCUGCUGAGAAGCUAAUUCCUACUGAGGAGUAAAUGACUCCAUCAGCCAUCUCCCCCAGGAAUAUUGGCAUUUAGACUGAAUAAUAAUAAAAUAGCUAAAAUUUAUUGAGUGCUUACUAGGUGCCAAGCACGGUGCUAAGAAGAUAAUGCCUCACGCUAGGAAAUUACUGGAUGAUGGCAGGAUCUUAAGCAAGGAUCAAUGGGACAGCAUCCUGACUUUUCUGUGAGUGAAUAACAUGUUCUAAGGCCCCAGUGAUGUACUCCAACACAAACGCUAUUGAACUUCCUCAGCCUGUUGACAGGAAGAGCCGAAGAUGCUGAAGACCUUGAAUCCUUCUUCUUUCAGUUGCGUAAAAACAAGAGGUUUUGAAAACACAAAGCAGAUCAAGCCAC